GAUGAACGCUGGCGGCGUGCCUAGUACAUGCAAGUCGAGCGAACAGACGAGGAGCUUGCUCCUCUGACGUUAGCGGCGGACGGGUGAGUAACACGUGGAUAACCUACCUAUAAGACUGGGAUAACUUCGGGAAACCGGAGCUAAUACCGGAUAAUAUAUUGAACCGCAUGGUUCAAUAGUGAAAGACGGUUUUGCUGUCACUUAUAGAUGGAUCCGCGCCGCAUUAGCUAGUUGGUAAGGUAACGGCUUACCAAGGCAACGAUGCGUAGCCGACCCGAGAGGGUGAUCGGCCACACUGGAACUGAGACACGGUCCAGACUCCUACGGGAGGCAGCAGUAGGGAAUCUUCCGCAAUGGGCGAAAGCCUGACGGAGCAACGCCGCGUGAGUGAUGAAGGUCUUCGGAUCGUAAAACUCUGUUAUUAGGGAAGAACAAAUGUGUAAGUAACUAUGCACGUCUUGACGGUACCUAAUCAGAAAGCCACGGCUAACUACGUG
rnacentral:rRNA from 1 species